rnacentral:lncRNA from 1 species
GAAUCCUGACCAGGCUCAGGAUCCUCCUCGGGCAUGGCCCAGACCCAGGGCAGGAUCUCCCCUGGGUCUGUUUGUCCAUCCCACCGGGCAGGGGGAUGGAGAGGGGCUGGGAGGGAGCCCCUGGAUCCUGCUGGAUCCUUGGGAAGGGCUGGCACUGCCUGCUCCUGGCUCUGCCCGGUUCUCCAGGGUGGGAUGGAGCCACUGGAGGGUUGGGAACAGCCAGGCUGGAGGUGCAGGGGGGGCUCAGCAUCCCCCUGGGCAUGGACAGGGUGGGAAGAAAGGUCUGACCCUGGCAGGGAAUAACAGGGAAGCUGGGAAGGGGAGGUGGAUCCCAGUGGAUCCCAGUGGAUCGGAUUCCUGUAAUGGAAUUUAUUCCUGCUGGGGCAGGAGAGAGGAGAAGCCCUUGGGGCAGAUUUCCUGGGAUAACACAGCUUUGGGGUGCACAGCGAGGGGAGAGAGGAAAAUCAGGAUUGUCCCAGCCUGUAAACCAGUGGGAACAGCCCUGAGCUCUUCAGGAGCCUCACACCUGCUUUGCUUGGGGCACAAACCCCAAGGUUUGAUCCCCUUGGAAGUUCAGGAUUUCCCUGGCAGAGCCCCUGGAUGUGCUCCAGAGGCAGCCAGGCCUGUCCCAGCAGCAGCAUUUACUGAAAAAGGCAAUGCAGAGAUUCCAGCUGCUCCUGGAGCUCCGGGGGGAGCACCAGAGUGUCCAGAGGGGCACGGAGCUGCCUCUGUCCUGCUGGACACGGCUGGGACACGGCUGGGACACGGCUGGGACACGGCUGGGACACAGCUGGGACACGGCUGGGACACCAGGACCCGCUGCUGUGCAGCCCUGGACAGCCGGACCCCGGCCAGGCUCCCUCGCUGACGGGGCUGUGUGGGCACAGCCUGGCCCUGCUCCUGUCCCCACGCAGCUGCAGCCAGGUGGGUGCCCCUGAUCCGUCGGGAAUCGGCUCCCUCUGCUCUGGGAAGCAGCAGCUGGACACGAGUCCCCAGCAGGAAUGAGCCCUCCCCAUCCUCGAGUCCAUCUUGGGACAGCUCCAGGCCAGCUCCUGCCCUGAGCAGCCCCUCUGCCCCCACAGCUCCUUUUUUGGUGGGGAUUACCUGGGAUUUGGGCUUCCAAAGGGUCCCCCAGCACCGGCCUGGGCCUCUCCAGGGAUUGCUGGGGAUUCAUGGUCAGAGGAGCCACCUCUGCACCAGUGCCCGGAGCUGCCCACCCCUGCUUUGUGCCCUCCCGAGUGGCUUCCUGAGCUCGCCAGGAAAUCCAGAACUCCCUGAGAACCUCCUGCCCUUCCCUGGGCUGUAUCCUCCUCCCCAGCCAUCCCUGCUUUCCCCACAUCCCAUUCCUUCUCCUUCACCAUCUGUUUCUCCACGUCCAAUCCCUCCUCCCUCCCCAUCUCUGUUUCCCCCACACCCAAUUCCUCCUCCCUCACCAUCUCUGCUUUCCCCACACCCAAUUCCUCCUCCCUCCCCAUCUCUGCUUUCCCCGGGGCCAAUUCUCCCUCCCUCCCCAUCUCUCCAUGCCCGGCUCCAAUCCCUGCUCCAUCACCGGCUCUGCUUUUCCCUGCAGGAGCUCCGGGCUCCCCCAGGAGCCGAUCCCGAGGGGUUGGCCAUGGAAUAGGCGCUUUUCCAGGUGCCUGGGCACAGCGGGAGGCUGAAGUUGGUUGCCCCGGGGCACUGGAACUCGCCCUGCCCUGGAGCCCCUGGCCUCUGCCAUGAAUGAUGCAUCCACCAUGGAUUAUGAACUGCUCUCCCCAUCCCUGGUGGAGCACCCCGCCGGCGCCGCGGGCAUGGAUGCCGAGCAGAAAACUGUCUUCGCCUUCGUCAUCUUCCUCCUGGUGUUCUUGGUGAUGCUGAUGGUGCGCUGCUUCCGCAUCCUGCUGGACCCCUACAGCCGCAUGCCCGCCUCCUCCUGGACGGACCACAAGGAGGGCUUGGAGAGGGGCCAGUUCGACUACGCCCUGGUGUGAGGGCAGCCCGGGGCGAGCUCCGGGGGUCGCCCCCGCUGGCCCCGGCCCCGGCUCCCCCUUCCUCCGCGGUGCUGCCCCGCAGGGAUGCUCCGGGCAGGGGGGCGAGCAGGGGGGCUCUGGCCCCGGGGAGGUUUUCUAGGGGUUUCUCUCUUUUCUAAGCAACUUUUCAGUUCUCUUGGCAGCCCGCUGGGGGACGGGGGGGCUUGGGCAGGGCUCGGGCUCCACGCGGGCCCCGCUGCCCCUCGUGUCCCCGGGCACCAGCGGAGGGGCAGGAGGGGACGGGACGGGGCAUGGCGGGACCUGCCCUCGGCCCGCGGGGUCCCCGGGCUGGGCUCUGUGCCCGGUGCCAGCCCCGAGCUUUGACCCCCCAUGCCCCCCGUGCCCCCGGGAGUGCCCCCCGUGCUGCAGUGCGUGUGUGUGUGUCCUGUAGCUGAGCUGUGUCCGUCAGGGGUUCCUCGGCACCACCCCGAGCGCUGGCUUUGUUCCUCGUGUGUGCCACUCCCGAGCCCCCCAAAAAGGAGGGGUAGGUGGAAAACCCCCCCUCAGUGCAGCCCCCCCUUGGCCUCCAGCCCUGUCCCCUCAGCCCUGUCCCUGCCCAGCUGGUGACAAUGGAGCGAGGGGCAUCCCCACCCGGCUGGGGACACCAGGACGGAUCGAGGGUCCCCAAAACACCCGGGAGAGGCUCCUCAAGGAGCUGCCAGGGGUGUCCGGCCCUUCCCUGCCUCUCCCAGGGCUCUGGGAGCGGCCGAGGGGUGAGCAGGGGAACCGCGGGGCUGCCAAAGCCGUGGGAGGGUUUGUACGAAGGGAUUUGAGCCCGUGGGGGGAAAACCUCGCCCCGCUCCGUGGAAAUAAAGCCGCACCGUGCCGACCCCAGCC